UACGUAGGGGGCGAGCGUUGUCCGGAUUUAUUGGGCGUAAAGAGCGUGUAGGCGGUCAGGUAGGUCUGCUGUGAAAACUCGAGGCUCAACCUCGAGACGUCGGCGGAAACCAUCUGGCUAGAGUCCGGAAGAGGAGAGUGGAAUUCCUGGUGUAGCGGUGAAAUGCGCAGAUAUCAGGAAGAACACCCGUGGCGAAGGCGGCUCUCUGGGCAUCUCCUGACGCUGAGGCGCGAAAGCGUGGGGAGCAAACGGG
rnacentral:rRNA from 1 species